UUAGAUCGUACCCACACUUACUUGGAUAACUGUGGUAAUUCUAGAGCUAAUACAUGCAAACAGAGCUCCGACCGGAGACGGAAGGAGCGCUUUUAUUAGAUCAAAACCGAUCGGUGGUGGACUCGUCCAUCAUCGUACAACUUGGUGAAUCUGAAUAACUUUAAGCUGAUCGCACGGUCUCGCACCGGCGACGCAUCUUUCAAAUGUCUGCCUUAUCAACUGUCGAUGGUAGGUUCUGCGCCUACCAUGGUUGUAACGGGUAACGGGGAAUCAGGGUUCGAUUCCGGAGAGGGAGCCUGAGAAACGGCUACCACAUCCAAGGAAGGCAGCAGGCGCGCAAAUUACCCACUCCCGGCACGGGGAGGUAGUGACGAAAAAUAACGAUACGGGACUCAUCCGAGGCCCCGUAAUCGGAAUGAGUACACUCUAAACCCUUUAACGAGGAUCAAUUGGAGGGCAAGUCUGGUGCCAGCAGCCGCGGUAAUUCCAGCUCCAAUAGCGUAUAUUAAAGUUGUUGCGGUUAAAAAGCUCGUAGUCGAAUUUGUGUCUCGCUCCGCCGGUUCAUCGUUCGCGGUGUUAACUGGCGUGCCGCGGGACGUCCUGCCGGUGGGCUUAGCUCGAGAGGGCGGCCCAAAUCAAUCCUGCCGCGGUGCUCUUCAUUGAGUGUCGAGGUGGGCCGGCACGUUUACUUUGAACAAAUUAGAGUGCUUAAAGCAGGCUAAAAUUUCGCCUGAAUACUAUGUGCAUGGAAUAAUAGAAUAGGACCUCGGUUCUAUUUUGUUGGUUUUCGGAACCCCGAGGUAAUGAUUAAUAGGAACGGAUGGGGGCAUUC
rnacentral:rRNA from 1 species